GGAGUACAGCUACUCUAUGAGAAAGUAUGACCGGAUGGUGUGGUUUCACCUAAGCUUCUUCGGAUCCAACCCACUGGAGAGAUCGGUGCGGUUCGUGAGGAACCUAGUGUUCGAGAGGCUGCAACAACGGGCAGAAAGAGAAGGUCAGUUGGCACGUUGGGAGAAACUCCAGCGGCAGAUGCAGCAGGGAAUUGGGAGCCCAGUCUCCACUCCCCAGCGGCAGUGUGAUAUGCCGGGAAUUGGGAGCCCAGUCUCCAUUCCCCAGCGGCAGUGUAAAGUGCAGGGAGAGGAGAGCAGCGUCCUCCCUCCCCAGUGGCAGGCUGAGUUACAGGGGGCAGAGGUAGUUGUUCCUGCCCUCCAGCAGCAGAGUGAUAUGCCGGGAAGGCAGUGUAAAGUGCAGGGAGAGGAGAGCAGCGUCCUCCCUCCCCAGCGGCAGGCUGAGUUACAGGGGGCAGAGGUAGUUGUUCCUGCCCCCCAGCAGCAGAGUGAUAUGCCGGGAAGGCAGUGUGAAGUGCAGGGAGAGGAGAGCAGUGUCCUCCCUCCCCAGCGACAGGCUGAGUUACAGGGGGCAGAGGUAGUUGUUCCUGCCCCCCAGCAGCCAAGUGAUAUGCCAGGAAGGCAGUGUGAAGUCCAGGGAGAGGAGAGCAGUGUCCUCCCUCCCCAGCGGCAGCG